GACUCCGUGGCGCAUAGCGCGACUGACUCCAAAUCAGAAGGUUGCGUGUUCAAAUCACGUCGGGGUCA
rnacentral:tRNA from 1 species